AUGAAGGAAUUUAUAAUAUGGAGAUAUUUGAAGGCCAAUUUAAAAGAUGUGUCGGAGAAUCUUAAACAAAAAAUAGAAAAGAAAAAGAACAAAGGAGGGUCCUUUUUGGUGGUUAAGGAGAAAGAGACAGAGGAACAAUUCUUCCCGUCCUUCGAGACGGUCUUCAUCCUCCUUCCUCCCCCUUACGCUUCAUCCUCAGGUUGA